CUUGAUUUAUGAUAAGAGGUCCAGCCUGCCCAGUGAAUUUUUAACGGCCGCGGUAUCCUAACCGCGCGAAGGUAGCAUAAUCACUUGUUCUUUAAAUGGGGACUCGUAUCAACGGCAUCACGAGGGUUUUACUGUCUCCUCUUUUUGAUCAGUGAAAUUGAUCUUCCCGUGAAGAAGCGGGAAUACUCAUAUAAGACGAGAAGACCCCAUGGAGCUUAAAACCAAAUGGUAACUUAACCACAUAUUUCCUUAUAACUUUAAGCCUAUACUAUGAGGUUUUUGGUUGGGGUGACCGCGGAGUAAAACAUAUCCUCCACGACGGAAAGACUACAAUCUUUAUUUAAGAACCACAGUUCUAAAAAUUAGCAUACUAACGUUUACUGACCCGAUAAUCGAUCAACGGAACA
rnacentral:rRNA from 1 species